ACUUCUGGUUCAGUCCCAUCAGGGCUCUGGAGCCCAAGACCCAGCAUCCAAGGCCCCCUCCAGGAAUCCUGGUGGCUCAGCUUACUUUAUUGUGUUUCAUCUGACAACAAAAAUAUCAGGCUGAAUGCACAGAAAAAUGACUCAAAGUGCUUAAUGACUAGAAGAAAUCUAGGAGCAGCAAGAAGGUGUGGAGCUGGGCAUGGUCACUCCUGCUGGAUGUCUAGAAGGUGGAAACCAAAGACCUAGAGAAAUACCAGGUACAGCCUUUCCACACUCAUCCAGAGCAAGACAAACAGGCCAGGCUUUGUCAGGAGCCCAGGUCUCCAGCUGGAGGGACUGUCAACACCGCAGUGGGAGCAGGGGCCCGUCGCACAUCCUAGGCACAGAUGGUAACAUAGGCACCACAGAAGCACUGCUGACUGGUGGUUGUCAUUGUGGCAGUGAGCGUUUUGUUCAUUCUGAGGUUGGGCUGGUUUCUCUUCUUGGCCCUGCCCUACAGAUCAUAAAGGAGAACAGCAAGAGGUCCCCAGCAAACAUCCACAGAUGGCCCUGGAGAUAAGUCACCUUCUGAGAAACAUGUCAUGUUCUGGGAGGGCUAAGGCAUCAAGUAAGGCUUAUGGGGUUGGAGGAUCCCAGGGCUGGUGGGGCAAUCUCGAGCCAUGGGGGCUUCUUAUGGGAAUUGGGAGGUCCCAAGGCAAAGACAGGGGUUCCACAGGAGGAGUCACAGAGCCACCAAGGGCUCUCCUGGCCCAGGGAGCAGUCAACACCAUGUACUGAACACCUGCUGGGCUCCAAGCUCUGGUCCAGGCUGGGGCAUGUGGGUCCCAGAGGGAGCUCAGAGUGGGAGGCAGAGAGAAGUGUGAUCAGAGGGCACACAUUUCUGGGUGCAAUGUGGUCCUGAGAUUUUGGCUGGUAAGUGCUUCCAGGGUUUCAUAUGUGUUAUGGAGCUGCUUCCUCUCCCCAGCCUCACCCUGCAGGAAUCCAGUGAAUGUAUUUCCACCAUCUUGGAGCUUAGUGCCCUCAUAGUGUAACAGCACCAGCAGAUCUUCCUGUGCAUGGACUUCCUGUACCACCCAUUCCUGAGGGGUGAUGCUUCUACAGGGCCUGUGACUUGGGGCACAACUUCAGACACCAUCAUCCUGGAGCAACAAUGCACCCUCACUAGCCAGGGUGUUGAUGACUUCCUCAAGGCCAAGACCACGUUCAAGAUUUCGGACUUUAUUGAUGCACUUGUGAUGAGCAAGGUGGGCUUCUCCGGGAUCUUAAUUGAGGAGAUAGAAUGCAGCUUGAGAUCAAGUGUCUGAUCAAAGAACUUGAACUUGAUCUGGAGGGCUUUGGGGAGCCAUGGAAGGUGCUGGAUAAGGGAGGGACAGUCAGAUACGUGUUAGAGAUGACUGUAAAAGGCUGCCUGGAAGGAGUGAACAAGAGCCAGGAGACCAGGGAGGGAGCUUGUGGGGCAGGUCUGGAGAUGGCAAGGGAAGGAUCCUGCUUGGAUGAACGGUCUCCAGAGACUGUCUCAGGUUACACUCAGGUGCCCUGAGAGCUAGUGUGUUCAGAGGUCUUGUCUCCAGGAUGAAAAUGGGAAGGAGUUGUCAGAUGAGGACAUGUAAAUGGAGGCUGGCAUAUUCGUGAGUGUCGGUGGUCCCGGUGUGGGGCUACUAUGAGAACAGGGGUCUCUCCAUCCAGCGACAUGGUGGAUGGACCCUACAUCACUCCAUUCUGCCCUUUCUUUCCCUCCUCCCGUUCUACCAAGGGCCUCACUGCAUUGCCGCUGUCCAUCCUCUGGUGCUGAAGCAGCUAAGAGACCCAAGCCUGCAUGGCUGCCUCUUAGGAUACGACAGCACAGCUAGUGGCCUCUACUUGAUCCUGUACAACCUCACAAGACACCCAGACACCAGGAGUGCUGCCAGCACGUGUUGCAAGAGUCCUGAGGGGCCACAGUCCUGAAGACAUUGAAUGGAAAAGGAGCAGAGCCCAGAAGCAGAGCCUGGUAUGCAGCCUGCCUAACAAGGGAGAAUUUGUAGGCUUUGUGGACAGAAAGAUCUGGGAGUCCAUAUCUAUCACCCACUAACUUUCUAUGAGACAUUAGUAAAAUCAGUUUUCUUUUCUGAACUACAUUUCUGCCACCUGUAAAUUGAGGGGAAUUUCUUCUACCUCACAAAGCUGCUUGGGAAAUGCCUGACAGUGAAUGCAGAGCAGGUGCCACCCAGCAGACAUUUGGUGUCCAGACCACUCCUCUUCCCCCUUGAUUUUCUGCCUAAAUUUGCAUUUUGUUCCUAAGACCUCCACUCCCCUUUAUUUUGCUUUUCCCUCUGAUUCCCACCUUAUCAUCUAUCCCAUGGAUUCACCAGGAUAUAAGUGGGUAACAGUCAUGUAUGCAUGUAUGUGUAUGUACAUAUGCCUUGUGUUGUGUUGGAGUGUGUGGUGUGUGUGUGUGUGUGUGUGUGUGUGUGUGUGUUGGAGUCACUGAGUGACUGAAACAGUCCACACCAGCCUGUGUUCCUGCUCAUUGCUGAGAGGUGCUGUCAGCUCCCCUGCCCUCAGCCCAAGUUCUGACCCUUGCAGUGCAGUGCAGACAGGGCAUUCAGGAGGAAUCAUGUCCUUGGAAGGAGCCCUGAGGAGUGACUGCUUCUACAAUCCUCAUAGACCUGUCAUUAUGCUGAGGAUCAGAGAGGGAAAGUCACUUGCCCAAAGUCACACAGCUGAACGGUGGUGGAGUUCAACUUUGACUGUUGGCUGUCUUGUCCCAAGUUUUUAGUGAAAAAAAACUGGGGCAAAGAGCAAUACAAGAGAGUUGCCAAAAUUCAUACUGCUGGUGCAGGUUUGAACCAAGCAGUCUGCACUUAGAGUCCUGUCUGUAACCAUGGCACCCUGGCUUCUCAUGCAUCUCAUCCUGGAGUUCCACUUUUUGUCAAGCAUGGCACUGAGCAGUUUCUUUUAAGAACAUAAUUUGUAAUUAUGUAGAUUACUAAUUCUACUUCAAAAUGACACACGGUCUUCAUGUGAUAAAAGGAAACAAUUGAAACCUCAGCUCCUGUGCCGAGGAGCCUGGUCCCUUUGGGCAACGUGACAGUCAGGUGCUGGCAGGGACCUCGAAGCAGCUGAAGGGUAAUUAAGAAAAAGCUGUUUACAAAGGCUUGUGGAGCCACAGAGAAGUUUUUCAGGAACUCAUAGGGAGAAUCUGCAGCUGAAAGAGGAGGCCAGAGGAGACAUCACUCCCUGUGCCCUUUGACUGAGUCCGGAUGCCCCCGCUGACCACACUACCAUCCCCUUAUUAGACUGGAGAGGCUGCAGGGAGGGGUUCUAAGCCUCGUAUUGUGGCUCACCUCCACCACUCAUCUGAUCUGCUGGGAUCUCUACUAAGGUGUUGACGGCCUGGUCAGCUGGUCUGGCCAUGGAUGUGCCUUCAGGGGCUGGUUAUGCUUCAUGACCUGUGUUGCGGUCAGUGCCAUUUUGCAGACCCUGGUCAGAAUGAAACGUUCC